UGGGGAAUAUUGCGCAAUGGACGAAAGUCUGACGCAGCGACGCCGCGUGUGGGGGGAAGCUCUUCGGGGUGUAAACCACUGUCAGGAGGGAAGAACGGCGCCGGUUCGAACAGUUCCGGCGAUUGACGGUACCUCCAAAGGAAGCGCCGGCUAACUCCGUGCCAGCAGCCGCGGUAAGACGGAGGGCGCAAGCGUUGUUCGGAAUUACUGGGCGUAAAGCGCGGGCAGGCGGUCUGUUAAGUCGUUUGUGAAAAUCCGGGGCUCAACCCCGGAAAUGCAUACGAUACUGGCAGGCUGGAGACUGGUAGAGGCUAGCGGAAUUCCUGGUGUAGCGGUGGAAUGCGUAGAUAUCAGGAAGAACACCUGUGGCGAAGGCGGCUAGCUGGGCCAGUUCUGACGCUCAUCCGCGAAAGCGUGGGGAGCAAACAGGAUUAGAUACCCUCGUAGUCCCUGAGCGGGCUGGCAAGGCGCAU
rnacentral:rRNA from 1 species